UACUUUUUAGUGUAAGGUGCACGGUAAUUUUUGGUGUUUCAGGGGCAGUUUAAUUCUGCAAAAAGUAA
rnacentral:tRNA from 1 species